rnacentral:lncRNA from 1 species
ACAGUUUUCAUAAUUAUCAAAAGUUGGCAGUGUCCAAUUGCUCACUGUUCAAAAGAUAGAGAUGCUAUAAAAGCUUAUUUCAUCUACAUAAGUUCAUAGUAUCAUGUACUCAAAAUAAUCAUAGUAUCAAAAGAUUGGCAGUUUUCAACUGCUCAUCGUUCAAAUACGAAAAUAUACAUAUGUCCAUAUCAAAAGGUUGGCUCCGCACAUCUGCUGUGUUUAUGAUUUUUCCUGUUCAAUCUCUGGUCUUGCUUGUUUGGGAAUGGCCACCCUUUUUCUUGGCCACCAUGCUGUUGAAUUGGUGCCUAUUCUUUUUUGCUUUGCCCAUUAUUUUUCUCUUGAUAUAUAUUACGAAUUGGAAUCAGUAAGAAUUCCAUAUAAAAAACUAAAUUUGUCAAUCUAUUUAACUUAGUGCGAACUUCGUCAAACAACCAAGUAUAAUCCAGCAAGGUUAUUUUCUCUUUUUUUUUUUUUGAUCAAAAUGAAUUCUACUGUUCCCAUCUAUUUGCACAUCCCUUUAAAUUAUCGAAAACACAAAAGAAAUAUAUCUUGAUCCAUACCAAUUAAUGAUUUCCCAUUUACUCAAGUCAAACGUCAAAGCCAAUGAAUUGAUGAAGGAGCUAAAAAAGAGGGACAAAAAAAAAUCUCUAUUAUUCAAUUAUAUGGAGAUUUACCUGAUUGUACAAAAGGUUUGAAAAUUACCGUAAAAUUUGAAAAGAGAGAUGAGAUGGAGUGGAAAUCACAUACCAGCAUCAGGCUUAAAUUUGUAGUGCUCAUCUGAGAGAGCAGUGAUAGUGUUGAUGAGAGUGUAGGGAGAGAAACAAAAUGCAAAUCGUACGAGUUUGAGAGAAACUGCUUGAGGGACACUGCAGAUUGAUCGUUGAGAUUUGAGAAACCGAGGAAGCUGCAAUUUGAGACGAACUACUUUGCAUCAAACGUGGGGGAGUUUCUCUCCUCCACGUUUGAAUAGAAGAGGUAGUUUCAGAGUUGUCUGCAAUUAGUCCUAUCAGGAGCUUCUGCACUGGUUGAUGUCUCGGUCUUUUCCUUAGUCGCAUGUGCAUUGUAGACUUGGGUAGAUGAAAAGUAGAAAGGAAAUAAAAAUAUAAAGUCAAAGUUACCACUUAACUAUCUAUGUUGAUUCAUGUCCCACGCAUAAUAAGAAUAGUGAAUCAUUUUUCAUCUCGUGCACUGGUUUGUCAUUGUCAUUCGAAUUCACAAAUCCAUUUACUCCGAAUUUCUUAGUUAUCACCAGGGAAAGAAUGUAAUAAGCAAAAAUCUAUUUCUAGGUUGUCCCACUAAACUACCUGUUAAACCAUGGUAAAUCAAAACGGGAAAAAAAUUAUAAUACCUUUGUCAAACCUCUUGGGAUUCAAGUCCACCGACUCCACCCCAAUACUCAGUGGCGCCCCAGAAAUCUUGCACGUUCAGUAGCCAAGAUCAUGCAUGUAUCAGUAUGAAUAUGGAAGAGAAAAUAAAUGCAAUUUAUUAGAAUAAAGAAUAUGGGAUCAACAAAGUUUGUCCAAACUUACAGUGAGGCUAAUAAACAACAACUAAAGAUAAUUUUUCGUUUUGCUACAUGAGAGGGGCAUCCAAAAAUCCAAACCUGUCGAUACGGCACAACUGAGGAUGCAAACUUUAUCCAACUAAGCAAGGGGCUUGAUCUUGGAAAGACGGCCAGAAUGAACAACAAUGUAUUCACUUUAGUAAAAGUGCCAAGACAGUGAUUGGUGAACGUUAUUUCCCAGCUGGGUUAGUUUGGCUAUUCCUUUCUAUUGAAAAGGAGUCAGUUGUGCAUGAGUCACCACAUUUUGCUUCAUGGCGAAAAAUUUGAGGGAUCAAUAGUGUAUGGCCCUGAAUCCCAAAAGGAAAAAAUAACUCAACUAAGUAUAUAUAAUAUUAAACAUAUAAAGGGUAAGAUCAACCACAUCCCAUAGGAGAACAAUUAAACGCCACUCUCUCAGUUUCGAGUACAACUGCACUUUGUGAUUAAAAUUCACACAUGUUUCACAUAUGCUAAGAAGUAAUGUUCCUGUAGGUUUUUCAUCAUGAACGACAUUUGCAAUCUACUUUUCGAUUUCAAACCUUAAUUAUUCAUUGCCCAUUAAGAAAUGACUAUAUUGCCCGGAAACUCUACUCAUAGUUUAUAAAUCUGCAAUUUUCAAAGCUUAACCUUAAACAUUUAUCAUGCUGAAAAAAAUACUUAAGCAUCUUAAUUGGAUUCCCUACAAUUUGGUGGAGGUUGAAUGGAUUUUUCCUCCCAUUAUACCCCCGGAAAAUAUAAAUAAUCAUUGGAGACCGAGCAACACACACUCAUAAAUAAAAGAUUAGGAACCUUUGGUUCAGGAUAAACAUAAUGCAUACAGAAGAAUAAAAUUGCCAGAAAACAGAUCGAUGCACAGAGAGAUAGAGGCAUAAAGAGAGAACUUACAUCAGCUGUGCUCUCAAAUACAUAUGGUAAUCUGCAUACGAAGAAACAUAAUACUGAAACAGUUAUAAAUCAUCCUAUUCAAACAAAUCAAACGAAAUGCAUAAAGAUUACCUUAGUUUUUGAUUCUAUGAUUUUGUAUUUGACUCCACCUCCACGUUGUUCUUUGGUUGUCUCUUUUACUGAAUUAAGUAAUCGACUGAAUUACUUAAUUCAACUGAAUUUAAUCAGAGAGAUGAAAGCUUCUGUAUAAAAAAAUAUUUUAUGCUCUACACGCGUAGCAAAUCAUCAGUAACCUCCAAGAACCUAAUUGUACGAUAAACACUCUAGCAUUAACUACCCAAGAAUUAUAAUCAUGCUUAUUGCCAAAAAUGAUAAACAUGUUUACCUUGACUUCAUUUUUAAUGGCAUAUGUAAUAUACUUUCCAUCUGCAUUAAAAUAACCUUCUUCCCUCUGCUCGUUAAUCAAGUUGAAAGGUUCUGUUUGAAUCCCAUCCACAACAAAGUCCUUGUAAUCCUGCCAAAAGAUACCACCAAUCACUGGCUAUCGCUUCCGUUGAUCCAAUUAGCAGAAGUAUCCAACAAUUUCCUCGACUGAAAAAAAUCUUGCCAAUUUAGAAAAGAACUAUUCCAAAUUACGGAUGUACUCGAUUAAUUUAACCAAGAAUAUGCACGGCACCACCACUAUUAAGAAACAUCAUCAUACAAAGACAAAAGUUUUUACCAUCAGUUUUUAAAUUGCAACCAAAACAUGCAUAGAAAGAAUAAAAAUGACAACAAAGAUGGCAAAACAAUUAACCACACAUGUUGUUUAUCCAAAAAUGCUGAGAGCUUAUGCUUCUGUGACACAACAAGCUUCCUGCGUCACAUACACUAGAUCAAGUAGGCGUCAUGACAUAAAUUGAAAAGCAGACAAGAUCAAGAAGAUCCAAAAUUAUUGACAUAUAAUUAUAGUAAAUAAUUGCACAUGAAAAACUCUAGAGGAAGAUAGAUGAAUCUCCAUAUCAAGAAACCAAAGAACAUGACACUACUAAGGACUGUUGCUUCACAUGCAUAUCUGCUACUAUUUUAAACAAUUAUGUUAUAACAAGUAUAACUCCGCCGUGUAAGUUUAUCUUACAUUGCCGGUCCCAAGCCCGGAUAAAGGAGGAGGGGGAGGGCGUCAGGUAGUCGACAGCCGGCACUCCAUGAUUACGUCGAAUCCUUAUGAAAAUGAAUCCAGAACGAAAUCGCGCUAAAGCUAGGGCGUCACCCGUAAGUGGCACGCUGUGUGGCCCGAGCACAGUGAUAAGUGAGCAAGGGUCACUGUAUCUCCAUCGGCACCCGGAUGCAGUGUUAAAUGAGCAAGGGGGCUAUAGAAACUUCUUUUCGAACGACUCCACUCAAAGUUGUUUGGGAGCAUAUGCUCCUAUCAACUUUACACGGGAGACACAAAAGAAGUACUUUGAUCCUAUUAGACGGGGAAGGGUGAAGAAGCUAGGACAGAAGGGUAGAGUUCAAGAGAGCAAAAUGCGUUUAGGAACGUGGAAUAUAGGAACCUUGACGGGAAAAUCUAUGGAAGUAGUAGAAGUUAUGGUGAGGAGAAGGAUAAAUAUUAUGUGCCUACAAGAAACUAAGUGGGUUGGUCGUAAGGCAAAGGAUCUAGAAAACUCAGGGUUUAAACUAUGGUAUUCGGGCACAAAUAGAACGAGAAACGGUGUUGGCAUCAUCGUGGACAAGACCUUGACACAAGAUGUUGUAGAUGUCAAGAGGGUAGGAGAUAGAAUCAUGGCAAUCAAGAUUGUAAAUAGGACAAGAACUUAUCAAUGUGAUUAGUGCGUACGCACCUCAAGUAGGGUUGGAUACGAGUUCGAAGGAGAAAUUUUGGGAAGACCUUGGAGACUUGGUGCAAGGAAUUGCUCAGACGGAGAAGUUAUUUAUAGGAGGAGAUUUAAAUGGACACGUGGGCAGGGAGACAGGCAACUAUGGAGGUUUUCAUGGUGGCCAUGGUUUUGGGGAGAGAAACGAGGAUGGGGAAGCUAUCUUGGAUUUUGCAAUGGCAUAUGAUCUCUUCUUAGCCAACACCUUCUUUAAGAAGAGAGAAGAACAUGUGAUCACCUACAAGAGUGGGUCGUCAAAAACACAAAUAGAUUUUCUUCUAAUGAGGAAAGGGGAUCGUAUAACUUGUAAGGAUUGCAAAGUUAUACCAGGAGAGAGCGUGGCUAAUCAACAUCGCUUGUUGGUGAUGGAUGUACAUAUCAAAAGAGUGAGAAAAAAGAACAAGACUUGGAAGUGCCCAAGGACUAGAUGGUGGAAUCUAAAAGAAGAAAAACAAGCCAUUUUCAAAGAGAAAGUAAUCACCCAGUAUGUGUGGGAUAGAGAGGGGGAAGCUAACCAAAUGUGGGAUUCCAUGGCUAGUUGUAUCCGAAAAGUAGCAAAAGAGGUAUUAGGAGAGUCCAAGGGUUUUGCCCCACACCAAAAGGAAUCUUGGUGGUAGAAUGAGGAGGUACAAACAAAGGUGAAGGCUAAGAAGGAAUGUUGUAAAGCCUUCUACAAGGAUAGGACCGAUGAAAAUGGUGAAAGGUAUAGAAAAGCGAAGCAUGAGGCGAAGAAAGCUGUGAGAGAAGCUAAGUUAGUGGCUUAUGACGAUAUGUAUAAGCGACUAGAUACCAAAGAAGGAGAGUUGGAUAUCUAUAAACUAGCUAGAGUAAGGGAAAAGAAGACAAGGGACCUAAACCAAGUGAGGUGCAUCAAGGAUGAGGAUGGAAAUGUUCUUGCUACAGAGAACGCGGUUAAAGACAGAUGGAAAGGUUAUUUUCAUAAUCUUUUCAAUGAAGGACAUGAAAGGAGUGCUUCUUUAGGGGAGUUGAGUAACUCAGAAGAGUGUAGAAACUACUCUUUUUAUCGUAGAAUCCGGAAGGAAGAAGUGGUUGUUGCUUUGAAGAAGAUGAAGCAUAGAAAAGCAGUAGGCCCAGACGAUAUACCAAUCGAAGUGUGGAAAGUUUUGGGAGAGACAGGUAUAACAUGGCUCACUGACCUUUUCAAUAGGAUUUUGAAAACGAAGAAGAUGCCAAAUGAGUGGCGAACGAGCACUUUGGUGCCUAUCUACAAGAAUAAGGGUGAUGUACAAAAUUGCAUGAACUAUAGGGGUAUUAAGCUAAUGAGUCAUACAAUGAAGCUCUGGGAGAGAGUCAUUGAGCAUAGAUUGAGGCAAGAGACACGGGUUUCGGACAACCAAUUCGGGUUCAUGCCAGGGCGCUCAACCAUGGAGGCAAUCUAUCUCUUACGAAGAUUGAUGGAAAGAUAUAGAGAUGGGAAAAAUGAUUUACACAUGGUCUUUAUAGAUUUGGAAAAUGCGUAUGAUAGGGUCCCAAGAGACAUUCUUUGGAGGAUUUUAGAGAAGAAAGGAGUACGAGUAGCAUAUAUCCAAGCUAUACAGGAUAUGUAUGAAGGAGCAAAAACUGCCGUAAGAACUCAUGAAGGACAAACCGAAAGCUUUCCCAUAACUGUAGGAUUACAUCAAGGCUCAUCAUUAAGUCCUUACCUUUUUGCGUUGGUAAUGGAUGAGUUAACAGGACAUAUUCAAGAUGAUAUUCCUUGGUGUAUGCUUUUCGCAGACGAUAUAGUGUUGAUAGAUGAAACUCAGGAAGGGGUAAAUGCAAAGCUUAACCUUUGGAGAGAAGUGUUGGAAUCUAAAGGUCUUCGCCUAAACCGAUCAAAGACAAAAUAUAUGGAGUGCAAGUUCAGUGCAAAUGGAGGCCAAAACGAGUUAGGGGUGAGGAUCGGAGAUCAAGAAAUACCAAAGAGCGACCGUUUUUGUUACCUAGGAUCUAUCUUGCAAAAGAACGGAGAAUUAGACGGAGAUCUCAACCAUAGAAUACAAGCUGGAUGGAUGAAGUGGAAGAGUGCAUCCGGCGUGUUGUGUGACCGCCGUAUGCCACUGAAGCUCAAGGGAAAAUUUUAUAGGACGGCAAUAAGGCCGGCGAUGCUGUAUGGCACAGAAUGUUGGGCGGUGAAGCAUCAACACGUACACAAAAUGGGUGUAGCGGAGAUGAGGAUGCUUCAUUGGAUGUGUGGGCACACAAGAAAGGAUAAGAUUAGGAAUGAGAAUAUCCGGGGUAAAGUAGGAGUAGCCGAAAUUGAAGGAAAGAUGAGAGAAAAUCGGUUACGGUGGUUUGGACAUGUGCAAAGAAGGCCUACUGACGCUCCAAUUAGAAGAUGCGACUAUGGGACAGAGGUUCAGGGCCGAAGGGGUAGAGGAAGACCUAGGAAAACUUUGGAAGACCCUAAGAAAAGACUUAGAGUACUUGGAUCUAAUGGAGGACAUGACACAGGACAUAACACAAUGGCGUUCUAAGAUUCAUAUAGCCGAUCCCACUCAGUGACUUGGAUUUUCCAAGUCUCCAACCGAGAAGUUUUCCUCACUCGGGAAAUUAAGGGAACACUACCUCAACCUACAUGCUCCAUUCACAAAGCUUCAACAUACAAGCUUCAACAAAAGAAAAUUCAAAGAACUUAGCGAAGAAGGCUUUGGUGUAUUUAACACAAUACGUUGAAAUGAAGGAAAACUUAUUUAUUGAUAUCCCCGAUAAGUUACAAAUAUGUACAUAUACUUGAGUCAAAAUAAACAAACAAGAGGGAGCCUUCACAAAGGUUGCUUAGGAGAAGUCUCAGCAGUCGGCAGAGCCCCAGAAAAAGAAGGCACCGGAGGUGGAUCAUUCGGAGCCUCAGUACUGGACAGAACCCUAGAAGGAUGAGGCAUCAGAGGUUGAUCAUUUGGAGUUUUAUUACGCGGUACAGCCCCAGAAGACGAAGGCAAUAAAUGCCUUUGGAACAAACCCACAAAUCUCUGAUGAUCAAGUAAAACCUGACCAUCAGAUUCCUUCAUUUGGUCAAGCUUCCUCUUCAUGUUUGUAGCAUAGUCAUGUGCGAGCCGGUGCAACUGUUUAUUCUCAUGCUUGAGCCCUCUAAUCUCCUGUUUGAGACUCAUCACUUCAGCCGCCAAUGAUUCAACCUGGCGGGUUCAAGCAAAUAGGCGUUGGGCCAUAUUAGAUACAGAACCUGCACACUGAACACUGAGAGCCAGAGAAUCCUUAACAGCCAACUCAUCAGACCGUUUGGAAAGUAGUCUGUUAUCUUUGGGAGUGAGAAGGUUCCUGGCCACUACCGCAGCGGACAUAUCAUUCUUCAUCACGGAAUCCCUAACGGUAAGAGGACCAGUAGGGGAGACGAAGGAUGGGCGCCAUAUAUUGUCUGGUGAAGGCGGGGCUGCCUCUUAAAAAAGGUUCAAGUCAAAACGACGGUCGGAGGGGCCAGACAUUUUCAAAGGUGUUGAAGAGAGAAGAGUUCGGACAAAUCAAGAUCUUAGAAGUGCAAGAAUGGAGCUUCUACUGGUGGAUAUUCAAGUGUGCUUUGGAACUUAAUGUCAGCCCCUAUAAAAAUUUGCACUCGACGAAGCUUCAGAAAUCGAAGAGGCGCCUGCUCAGAAAUCGAAGAGGUGUUUGCUUUCUCAAAAGCUGGGCUGCUCAGAGACCACGAGGGUCGAUCUCAGAAAUCGAAGAGGCGUUUGCUUUCUCAAAAGCUGGGCUGCUCAAAGACCACGAAGACCGAUCUCAGAAAUCGAAGAGGCUUGCUUUCUCAAAAGUUGGGCUGCUCAGAGACCACGAGGGUCGAUCUCAGAAAUCGAAGAGGCACCUACUUUUCCAGCCUUGUCAGCACCUGUCACACGCACACUCAGCUUUGCGGAAAUUAUGGGCAUUCUGUCGAAGAUUUCUGGCGAAGUAGAAAGCACAUGAAUCGUACUGUUCAAUCACCCACUUCUCACACGCAACAGUAGCUCAUGGGUACCACAGAUAACUUUGCCAAAGUUCUCUGACAAAGUUGAGACACGUGAAGCUUGCAGCUCCCACUACAUCGCUCUGACCAAGAAGGGUAAAAGAAUAGCAAAGAAACAACACUAACAAAGUUUACACAUAAAUUUUGAAGGUCUAGCUACCAUAUUAUUACCCACAAGGGUAAAGGAACAGUACCACUGCUGGAUAAUUGGAAAGUCCCGAUGUGUCAACCUCUGUGCUUCGUGGCAAGGUAGACUAGCAAACUUGCCCAACCUUUACUCACAUUCGAGAAAACACUCCCAACAAGAUUGCUUGCUCCAAAAUCGAAGAGGCACCGCCCUCCGAAUCUCAAGAGCCAGACUCCCAACAUGAUUACUUUCUCAAAAAUCGAAGAAAGGGUAAAGGAACAGUACCACUGCUGGAUAAUUGGAAAGUCCUUGUGUGUCAACCUCUGUGCUUCGUGGCAAGGUAGACUAGCAAACAUGCCCAACCUUUACUCACAUUCGAGAAAAUACUCCCAACAAGAUUGCUUGCUCCAAAAUCGAAGAGGCACCGCCCUCCGAAUCUUGAGAGCUAGACUCCCAACAUGAUUACUUUCUCAAAAAUCGAAGAGAGGGUAAAGGAACAGUACCACUGCUGGAUAAUUGGAAAGUCCCUGUGUGUCAACCUCUGUGCUUCGUGGCAAGGUAGACUAGCAAACAUGCCCAACCUUUACUCACAUUCGAGAAAACACUCCCAACAAGAUUGCUUGCUCCAAAAUCGAAGAGGCACCGCCCUCCGAAUCUCGAGAGCCAAACUCCCAACAUGAUUACUUUCUCAAAAAUCGAAGAGACACCGCUUUUCGAAUCCCGAGAGCCAGACCCCCAGCAGGAUUGCUUUCUCAAAAAUCGAAGAGGCAUCGUUCUCCGAAUCUCGAGAGCCAGAUCCCCGACAGGAUUGCUUGUUCGAAAACCGAAGAGGCACCACUUUCCCAACUUCAAGAGCUGGAUCUCCUUGGAUAAAGCUUGUCUGUAAUCUUCACAUGCAACAUCAGCUUUCCAGAUACCACAGACCACUUUUUCAAAACGCUCUGACAUAGUUAAAACAUGUGAAGCUUGCAGCUCCCACUACCGUGCUAUGACCAAGCAGGGUAAAGGAAUAGCAUUAUUACUUGAUGUUAAGGAGACUCCUAUAUAUGUCGACCUUCAUCCCCAACGGACAGGCAGACCUGCAAAAAUGCUCAACCCUCCCUCUUAUCUGAGAGGGCACUCCCAACGAAGCCUUUCGAAAUAUUCAGCUUUCUUUCCCCCCCCCCGAUAAUACCUCUGUAAACAAGCUAUACUAGAGCAAGAAUAUCUCAUAUCAUCAGGGUUAAAAGCAAGAGUAUCCCAUAUCAUGCUUUUUCCCUGUCUUUUCCUUUGGCCUUGUUCUUACCUGCAAGACAAGGAGAAAGAGAGCAAUCAGUCAGCACUUGGAAUCAAGCUUCCAGCCAGGAACUGACUGCCUGGAACCCCUUACCUGAUUACUUACCUGGCAUUGCUUUCGAGUUCUCAUCUUCAACAUCUUAUGCUUCCAGGGAAGAUACCGCAUCUGCCUGAGGAACAGAUAGGGCAAGUGAGAAGGAUACAAGGAAGCAUGUGGAGACAAGCGUAACAGCACACGUGCCGAUACAUCCACUACUCUGUCGAAAGCAAAAGUAUCCCAUAUCAGCAGGGUCGAACGUACUCUAGAUUUGAUGGACUUGUUUUGACCCUCAAAUUCUUCAGUCGACCUUAUACUCUGGAGGAAACUAGAAAACCCUCCAGCCCAGUUCAAGAAUAAGCCUGUGGAAAGUUACUUCUUCAAAAGCAAAAGUAUCCCAUAUCAUCUCUUCUCAUUUUUCUUCUCUUUAUCCUUCAUACUGCCUGCAAGAUAGGGAGAAUGUGAACAAUCAGCAGGAGCUUUGAUUGCUUACCUUGUCUGUCACUUUCAGCAGAUCCCCUAGCUCGGCGACUUGGGGGACUCUUACUACAUGGUUUGUAUCGCGCUUGACCAAGCCUGAAACUACAAGUAAGCUUCAAGUGAAAUUGAUACAUUACCUUGUGCAUCUCCACCAGUUACAGAUAUCACCCCUGGAUGGAGGAAGAGUACUUCCAGAGAAGAUGCCACAUCUACCUAUGAGACAGAUAAGGCAAGUCAAGACGAUACCACACUCCGGUACUUAGAAGUUUCGUGGUUACGAGAUAAUUCUCCCACAAUAUUUCCUAAUGUCAUUUGUACUAAAUCAUUCACUUGUACUCACUAAAGGAGAGCUUGAACCUAUGUACUUGUGUAAACCCUUCACAAUUAAUGAGAACUCCUCUAUUCCGUGGACGUAGCCAAUCUGGGUGAACCACGUACAUCUUGUGUUUGCUUUCCUAUCUCUAUCCAUUUAUAUACUUAUCCACACUAAUGACCGGAGCAAUCUAGCGAAGAUCACAAAAAGUGACCGUUUUCGCUACCUAGGAUCUAUCUUGCAAGAGAACGGAGAAUUAUAUGGAGAUCUCAACCAUAGAAUACAAGUUGGAUGGAUGAAGUGUAAGAGUGCAUCCGGCGUGUUGUGUGACCGUCGUAGGCCACUGAAGCUUAAGGGAAAAUUUUAUAGGACGGAAAUAAGGUCAGCGAUGUUGUAUGGCACAGAAUGUUGGGCGGUGAAGCAUCAACAUGUACACAAAAUAGGUGUAGCGGAGAUGAGGAUGCUUCGUGAGAUGUAUGGGCACACGAGAAAGGAUAAGAUUGGGAAUGAUGAUAUCCGAGGUAAAGUAGGAGUAGCCAAAAUUGAAGGAAAUAUGAGAGAAAAUCGGUUCCGGUGGUUUGGACAUGUGCAAAGAAGGCCUACUGACGCUCCGGUUCGAAAAUGUGACUACGGGACAGAGGUUCAGGGCCGAAGGGGUAAAGGAAGACCUAGGAAAACUUUGGAAGAGACCCUAAGAAAAUACUUGAGUACUUGGAUCUAACGGAGGACAUGACACAAAACCGAGCGCAAUAGCGUUCUAGGAUUCAUAUAGCCGACCCCACUUAGUGGGAAAAGGCUUUGUUGUUGUUGUUGUUGUUGAUGUUAUAACAAGUAUAAGAGAGAGGAAAAAUCACUACUGAACCGAAAAUGAAAAAGGGGGAAAACCUGGAAUGCCAUGCAGUGCCGAAAUCACUACUUAGCAACAAAAGUGCCCUGCUAUGCUUCAUGACGUCACUUUCAAAACUAUUAUCCAAAGAUAAUGACACAUACAAAGACUUCUCAUCCCCAGAUACAUCUGAUUUGCUGUUAAGUGCCUUAUAUUGUCUACUUCCUGCCAUAAACGCAUGCUUAGCAGCCUCAUAUAACGGAAAAAGAACUUGUGUUGAAAUCCCCAACUUAUGAUCCCUAUUCCAAAAAACUGAGUUGCCAUCAACUGAGCGCAGCACAGUACUGUCAUCAGAUGAGGGUGAGGAAUGGCCUGCCUCUUUAUUCAGCUUGGAAAACUGGGACGGGUGAAGAAAUCCCACUUCAUCUCUGGGUUCAAUCAAGAGGAAAGAACAAUGUUUAAGACAAUGACAUUACUACAUAUUCCAAAAACACAACUGAGAAUCCUUCCAAAAUUAAAAAAAAAAAGAACACCUCUAAACAAAAUCAUAACGCACCCACAAUUACACACACACACAAUUCAAAAACUUUCAGCAUAAGAAUAAGGCAUACUUGGACCGUUAUCGAAAUCCCAGACUCAGUAACAGUAAUGAACUUACACUGAAUCAACAUUUUGAAUUUGAACUAACACUGAAUGGACAUUUUCCAAAAAAUAUGAAAUCCAAGUAAAAUCAAGCUGUUACUUUUACAUAUGCAUGGAUCAACUCAUGCGGGAUCAAAUAUCUGUACUUUUCGACACGGAAAUUACACUUUGUGAAGGUACACCAACCAAGCACGAAUAAAACCUAUAUAUACAAAACUCUAUGGGGCAUUUCAUCGAACACAAAGUCUGCGUCUUUACUGAAAACAGAGAAGUUAAACCUGCAAUCACUCAUUAUCUACUAACAUACAAGUACGAAUUACUUACAUUUGGGGAUCGGAUUCCAAGAUACAUUCGAAUUGAUUCAGAAGAUCGACCGUGUCUGCUUCGGAACAACGCAGCUCCUCUCCUUCCAUAUUUUCUGUUUGUUUCCCAAGAAAAUCCAAGGGAAAAGAAAUCUGAGGAAAAAUGACAGCUUUAUACGAUGUUGGAACAAAAUGGUAAAUUAAUUAAAAAAAAUAACUACGUGGAAGUUUUUUAUUCGUUGUUGCAAUAAGUUGCAGGAAAAAGUAAUGAUGCUGGCCGCAGAUGAACCAGUUUCGGGCCAAUGUCACACUAACACGUAUACACCUUCCUUCGACUUUUCUUUUCUUGUAUAAAAUUUUGGAGCUGCUAUGGCUAUUCUCUCUCUCUCUCUCUCUCUCUCUCUCUCUCUCUCUCUGAGUAGGCCUAGCAAACGGGUCGUGUCUGUCGUGUUCGUGUUGUUUUUGUGUAACACCUAUUAUCUUAACGGAUCGUAUCGUGUCACACCUGUUAUCUUAACAGGUCGGGUCACUUUACCCAACGGGUAAAAUGACCCAACCAGUUAUGACCUGUUAAGAAAAAUAUAUUUUUUUCUUAAAUUUGCACAUACCACACAUUGUCACUUAAAUAUUACUUCAAAACAUUAAAACACAUUUAUCGUUUUAGUACUACAUCUACACUUGAAAAUAAGAUCAUAAUAAAAAAAAGGGUAAAUUACAUAGUAGCCCCUCAGGUUUGAGGUCUAUUGCAAUCUUAUACAACAUCUUUAAAACAUUUCACUUUCAUACCUCAAGUACUAUUUUAUUUCAAUUUUAUACAACCGUUAGAUUUUCCAUCCAUUGAUCUGUUAAAUGCUGACGUGCCUGCCACAUAUAUGACACGUGGCUGCCAAAUGUCUGCCACGUGGCAAAUAAAAAUAAUUUUUUAAUUUAAAAAAAAAAACAUAUCUGCCACUUUUUUUUUCUCUUUUUCUUCUUCUUCUCUUUCUCUUUCUUCUUCUUCUGGGUUGGGACCCCUUUUUUUUUUUUUUUCCUUCUUCUUCUUCUUCCUCCUCAUCCUCUUUCUUCUUCUGUUCUUCUUCUUCCUCCUUCUUCUUAUGGGUUCCGUCCCUUUUUUUUUUUUUCCUCUUUCUUCUUCUUCUUCUCUUUCUCUUUCUUUUUCUUCUGGGUUCGGACCCUUUUUUUUUUCUUUUUUUUUUCUUCUUCUUCUUCUUCUCCCUCCUCCUCCUCUUUCUUCUUCCCUUCUUCUUCUUCCUUCUUCUUCUUCUGGGUUCGGUCCCUUUCUUUUUUUUUUUUUUUUUCUUUUCUUCUUCUUCUUCUUCUUCCUCAUCCUCCUCCUCUUUCUUCUUCUCUUCUUCUUUUUCCUCCUUCUUUUUCUGGGUUCGGUCCCCUUUUUUUUUUUCUUCUUCUUCUUCUUCUUCUUCCUCCUCCUCCUCCUCCUCUUUCUUCUUCUUCCUUCUUCUUCUGGGUUCGGACCCCUUUCUUUUUUUUUCUUUUUUUUUCUUCUUCUUCUUUCUCCUCCCUCCUCUUUCUUCUUCUCUUCUUCUUCUUCCUCCUUCUUCUGGGUUCGGUCCCUUUCUUUUUCUUCUUCUUCUUCUUCCUCAUCCUCCUCCUCUUUCUUCUUCUCUUCUUCUUCUUCCUCCUUUUUCUGGGUUCGGUCCCUUUUUUUUUUUCUUCUUCUUCUUCCUCCUCCUCCUCCUCCUCUUUCUUCUUCUUCCUCCUUCUUCUGGGUUCGGACCCUUUUUUUUUUUUUUUUUUCUUCUUCUUCUUCCUCCUCCUCCUCCUCUUUCUUCUUCUUCCUCCUUCUUCUAGGUUCUGUCUUUUUUUUUUCUUCUUCUUCUUCCAAUUUCAGGUUUUUAAAAAAUAAAAAAAAAUUAUUUUAUUUGCCACGUGGCAGACAUUUGGCAGCCACGUGUCAUAUAUGUGGCAGCCACGUCAGCAUUACAGAUCCAUGGAUGGAAAAUCUAACGGUUGUAUGAAAUUGAAAUAAAAUAGUACUUGAGGUAUGAAAGUGAAAUGUUUUAAAGAUGUUGUAUAAGAUUGCAAUAGACCUCAAACCUGAGGGGCUACUAUGUAAUUUACCCUAAAAAAAACAAUCAAACACUACUAGUCUAUUACAAAAUAUUAAAUGUGCAAGGAUAUGCAAAAUGAAAGAGUUUUUGUUUUCAAGGUUGUGAAGCAUUUCAUUAAGUAUAACAUAAGAUUUUGUGGUAUCCACCAGUGAAAAUAUUUUAAAUUGAAUAUCGAGUUCAUUCAUUGUAUUCAUAUAGGGUCAAUGAGUGUAGCUGUAAAAAAAUCAUCAAAAUCGGAGUUAAAUUAACCGUUAAAUCAUGAUUUUGCGUUGACAAUCGUCGAAAAGUUUUGUCCUGUUACUUGAUCAUUGAAUGUUUGCUUUUUGCAAUUUUUGGCGUGUGCGAUCUCGAAGCAUAUACAAACAAGUUUGACGGUUGGAUCGUUGAAAUUAGUUUCAUAGAAUGCGUAUCUCAUCAAAACGAUAGAUUCACGAACACAUAGAGUUUUAUUUAUCCUUUCAUUAAGUAUAACAUAAGAUUUUGUGAUAUCCACUUGUGUAAAUAUUUUAAAUUGAAGAUCAAAUUCAUUCAUUGCAUUCAUAUAGGGUCAAGGAGUGUAGCUGUAAAAAAAUCAUCAAAAUCAGAGUUAGAUUAACCGUUAAAUCAUGAUUUUGCGUUGACAAUCGUCGAAAAGUUUUGUCCUGUUACUUGAUCUUUGAAUGUUUGCUUUUUGCAAUUUUUGGCGUAUGCGAUCUCGAAGCAUAUACAAACAAGUUUGACGGUUGGAUCAUUGAAAUUAGUUUCAUAGGAUGCGUAUCUCAUCAAAACGAUGGAUUCACUAAUACUUAAGAGUUUAUUUAUACUUUCAUUAAGCAUAACAUAAGUUUUUGUGGUAUCCACUUGUAUAAAUAUUUUAAAUUGAAGAUUGAAUUCACUCAUUGUAUUCAUAUAGGGUCAAUGAGUGUAACUGUAAAAAAUCAUCAAAAUCGGAGUUAAAAUAACCGUUAAUAGUAAUUUUUCGUUUAUAAUCGUCGAAAAGUUUUGUCUCGUUACUUGAUCUCUGAAUGUUUGUUUUUUGCGAUUUUUGGCGUAUGCGAUCUAGCAUAUACAAACAAUUUUGACAGUUGGAUCGUUGAAAUUAGUUUCGUAGGAUGCGUAUCCCAUCAAAAUGAUAUAUUCACUAACAUUUAAAAGUUUAUUUAUACUUUCAUUAAGCAUAACAUAAGUUUUUGUGGUAUCCACUUGUGUAAAUAUUUUAAAUUGAAAAUCAAAUUCAAUCAUUGUAUUCAUAUAGGGUCAAGGAGUGUAGCUGUAAAAAAUCAUCAAAAUCGGAGUUAAAAUAACCGUUAAAUCGUGAUUUUUUCGUUUAUAACCGUCGAAAAGUUUUGUCCCGUUACUUGAUCUCUGAAUGUUUGUUUUUUACGAUUUUUGGCGUAUGCGAUCUCGAAGCAUGUACAAACAAGUUUGACGGUUUGAUCAUUGAAAUUAGUUUUGUAGAAUAUGUAUCUCAUCAAAACAAUAUAUUCAAUAACACUUGAGAGUUUAUUUAUCCUUUUAUUAAGUAUAACAUAAGAUUUUGUGGUAUCUACUUGUAUAAAUAUUUUAAAUUGAAGAUCGAAUUCCUUCAUUGUAUUCAUAUAGGGACAAGGAGUGUAGCUAUAAAAAAUCAUCAAAAUCGGAGUUAAAAUAACCGUUAGAUUGUGAAUUUUUGUUUAUAACCGUCGAAAAGUUUUGUCCCGUUACUUGAUCUCUGAAUGUUUGUUUUUUGUGAUUUUUGGCGUAUACGAUCUCGAAGCAUAUACAAACAAUUUUGACGGUUGCAUCGUUGAAAUUAGUUUUGUAGGAUGCGUAUCCCAUCAAAAUGAUAGAUUCACUAGCACUUAGAGUUUAUUUAUAUUUUCAUUAAGCAUAACAUAAGUUUUUGUGGUAUCCACUAGUGUAAAUAUUUUAAAUUGAAGAUCAAAUUCAAUCAUUGUAUUAAUAUAGGGUCAAUGAGUGUAGCUGUAAAAAAUCAUCAAAAUCGGAGUUAAAAUAACCGUUAAAUCGUGAUUUUUUGUUUAUAACCUUCGAAAAGUUUUGUCCCGCUUCUUGAUUUCUAAAUGUUUGUUUUUUACGAUUUUUGGCGUAUGCGAUCUCUGAAUUAUAAUUAUUAUAGUUUUUAGAGGUAUAAAAUUGUUGAAUUAAUAUAUAUAAUUAUUAUAGUAUUUUUUAGGGUUAUAAAAUUAAUAUUUUGCUUAUCGUGUUAACCACGUGUAUACCCGAACCAACCCGUUAUCUUAACAGGUGCUUAUCGGGUUACCCGAUAACGACCCGAUUCGUUAUCGUGUCGACCCGAACACCUGUAAAUUUCGUGUCAUGUCGGACCUGGUUAUCGGGUCGUGUCAGGAAUUGCCAGGCCUUGGGGCGUGUCAGAAUCUGUCAACCAAACUGAUCCAAUCCACACGUAGAAUGAGAAACUAAUAUUUGGCAUAGGCUAAACCCUAUCUUCCAGAUGGCUGACUUUUCAAACAAAAUAAAAGCCACACGUCCACACUUGAAUCUGUCAACCAAUUUGAUCAAAUCCACACGUAGAAUGAGAGGCUGAUAUGUGGCAUAGGGUAAAGCCAAUCUUUCAGAUGGCUGACCUUUCAAACAAGAUCAAAGUCACACGUCCACAUGUCCACACUUGAAUCUGUUAACCAAACUGAUCCAAUUCACACGUAGAAUAAGAGAUUAAUAUGUGGCAUAGGCUAAAGCCUAUCUUCAAGAUGGCUGACUUUUCAAACAAAAUAAAAGCCACACUUCCACACUUGAAUCUGUCGACCAAACUGAUCAAAUCCACACGUAGAAUGAGAGGCUGAUAUGUGGCAUAGGCUAAAGCCUAUCUUCCAGAUGGCUGACUUUUCAAACAAGAUUAAAGUCAUACGUCCACACCUCCACACUUGAAUCUGUUAACCAAAUUGAUCAAAUCCACACAUAGAACGAGAGGCUAAUCUGUGGCAUAUGCUAAAUCCUAUCUUCCAGAUUGCUGACUUUUCAAACAAGAUCAAAGCCACAUGUCUACACUUGAAUCUGUCAACCAAACUGAUCCAAUCCACACGUAGAAUGAGAGGCUGAUCUGUGGCAUAGGCUAAAGCCUAUCUUCCAGAUGGCUGACUUUUCAAACAAGAUUAAAGUCAUACGUCCACACCUCCACACUUGAAUCUGUUAACCAAAUUGAUCAAAUCCACACAUAGAACGAGAGGCUAAUCUGUGGCAUAUGCUAAAUCCUAUCUUCCAGAUUGCUGACUUUUCAAACAAGAUCAAAGCCACAUGUCUACACUUGAAUCUGUCAACCAAACUGAUCCAAUCCACACGUAGAAUGAGAGACUUAUAUGUGGCAUAGACUAAACUCUAUCUUCCAGAUGACUGACUUUUCAAACAAAAUAAAAGUCAUAUAUCCACACUUGAAUCUGUCAACCAAAUUGAUCAAAUCCACACGUAGAAUGAGAGGCUGAUAUGUGGCAUAGGCUAAAGUCUAUCUUCCAGAUUGCUGACUUUUCAAACAAGAUAAAAGCCACACGUCCAUACGUCCACACUUGAAUCUGUCAACCAAACUGAUCCAAUCCACACGUAGAUUAAGAGACUAAUAUGUGGCAUAGGCUAAAGCCUAUCUUCCAUAUGGCUGACUUUUCAAACAAAAUAAAAGCCACACGUCCACACUUGAAUUUGUCGACCAAACUGAUCAAAUCCACACGUAGAAUGAGAGGCUGAUUCGUGGCAUAGGCUAAAGCCUAUCUUCUAGAUGACUGACUUUUCAAACAAGAUAAAAGCCACACGUCCACACUUGAAUCUGCCAACCAAACUGAUCCAAUCCACACGUCCACACGCCACAUGUCACAUCCCCGCCCCGGCUCGACUCCGCCGUAGCACGAUAUUGUCCGUUUUAGACCCCGACCACCCCCUCACGAUUUUGUUUAUGGGAACUUACGCGAGAACUUCCCAGUGGGUCACCCAUCUUGGGAUUGCUCUUGCACCAUUCUCGCUUAACUUCAGAGUUCCUACGGAACCCGAAACUAAUAAGCGAUUGGCUCUGAUACAAAAUUGUCAGAUCCGGCCCGAGCUCCACCACACCCCGAGCUCGACUCCAAUGUAGCACGAUAUUGUCUGCUUUGGGCCCCGACCACGCCCUCACAGUUUUGUUUCUGGGAACUCACGCGAGAACUUCCUAGUGAGUGACCCAUCAUAGGAUUGCUCUCGAGCCAUUCUCGCUUGACUUCGGAGUUCCUACGGAACCCGAAGCCAGUGAGCUCCCAAAAUGCCUCGUGCUAGGUAGAGAUGUGAAUAUACAUAUGAGGCUUACAUGAUCCACACCCCUGGACGAUGUGGGAUCUUACACCACGCAUCCCAAAUCAAUUUGAAUUGUACUGUUUGCUUGGAGAUAUAAUUAUGUCCUUUAUUUUAUCAAACCCAUACUUGCAUAAGGAGUCAAAAUCUCCUACUGAUGCAUUCCACGUGGCAAGAAUCAAAAGGCAUAUACCAUUUGUAUUCAUGUGAUAAUCAUCCCAUCCUACUACAUCAUCUGAUGUCGUGCCUUAAUGCACAUCCAUAUUCCAUCAUAUUUUGGGGCUAUAAUUAUUCGAGUAUAUAUAAUUAUUAUAAUUAUUAUAGUUAAUUUAAUAUAUAUAUAUAUAUAUAUUAUAGUUUUUAGGGUAUAAAAUUGUUAAAUUAAUAUAUAUUAUUUUUAUAUUAUUUUUUUUAGGAUUAUAAAAUUAUAAAAUUAAUAUUCUGUUUAUCGUGUUUCGUGUUACCCACGUAUAUACCGUAUAUACCUGAACCAACCCGUUAUCUUAACAUGUGCUUAUCGGGUUACCCGAUAACGAUCCGAUUUGUUAUCGUAUCGAUUCGAACAUGUGUUAAUUUCGUGUCGUGUCGUGUCUGGUUAUCUGUCGUGUCAGGAAUUGCAGGCCUACCUCUCUGAGCAUCAAUCGCCGAAGGAUUUUCUAUCAUUUUCCCUCACUUUCUCCCGUUUUCUCUCUCGCCAAACACUCCAAUUCCUUAAGGAUCUGAGGUUUCUUCCACUUCAAAUCUCACCUUUUUUUUCUUUCCAAUUGGGCAAAAAGGCAUUGAUUUGAAACGAAUAUUAUAAUAGAAAGGAAAGCGCUUUGGGGGGAUUAGAAUUUCUGAAUCUAGGGUUCCGUGAUCUGUAUAUGCUUCUUGAUGACUAUGGAAAUCGUGGUGGAUGCGGCGUCGUUUGACGCCGAGCUGUUGCAGCUCAAUGAGGUGUCCCCUUUGGCCCUCAAAUCGAAUCCGAGCUACGUCGAGUCGCUGUUCGAGCAGUGGCUUUCGCUUCCCAAUACUAAUCGCCUGGUACUUGAAAACCCAAAUUUUUUUGUCUUCAAAAUUUGAAAUUUUUGGUGUUUUCGCAUUGUUUUGGUUGUGCAUCUUGUUGGGUUUCGAAGGAUUUAUGGGUGCAGUUUUUGGUUUUUGAAUUUUGGUGAGCUUGGUUUUUUGCUGUUGAAUUAAAAAUUUCUGUGUUUUUUCAUGUGUGUAUGUUUUGAGAUACACAUAAUUUGCAUGGAUUUGUAUAUGUGUUUGUUCUAGCCUGUGAAACCAGCAUGAGAGCUAAGAAAUAAUGAUGCUGAGUUGAUUUUAGUAUAUAUUGAUUUUCGUGCCCAUGGUAUUGAAUUUGUUCGGAAACGAUGACUUUGCGAUUAAUGAAGCAUUAAAGGGCACAUUUCAGUAUGGAAAAAGGGAUGAAAAUUGUAAAUUGUUAGCAAUGUUCGAAAUUACCUAAUGCCUUAAAGUAGUUACAAAUUUGUAAUUAGUUGUUGGAAAUGCUAAAGUUUAUAUAUUUUUUUUAAUUAGGAUACUGGAUACCUAUGAUUUACAUACUACAUAAUCUUUCAUCUUUUCUGAUGCAUGACAGUUUUUUCAUUUUCCCGACUCUAUGGUUGCAGGUGACACAACUGCUAACUGAAGCAAAGGCAGGUAGGCCUCUGAAUGUUCAGGGAAAUUCUUCUAGUCCACAUGCCACUGCAGGCAGUACUUUGCCUUCUAUGUUUCCAACCAAAGUGGGACAAAGGGAAGGCCCCACAGUCCCGGAAAGAGACUCCACCUCUUCCAUCCUCUCGGGUGCGUUCAUCAGCCAGAUCUGAUGACAGGGCAGCUUUCAAGGAUGAUGCAUUGAAUGAGUUACGAGCAAAACGUUUGAAGCUGCAUGACCCUGAGGCUCACCGCAAGUUGAGAUAUGCUUCUCGUAGUGAAGAUGAUGGAUCAUCAGGGGAUGAUGCAAUGAUUGACAGUGAUGAUGAAAGGUCACAGGGACUAACUUUUGAUGUUAUAAAGGAGAUUACCAUUCGAAGGUCGAAACUUGCAAGUGGUUUAUGGAGCCCUUCUUGGAAGAGUUAAUUGUGGUUUGCGUUGUAAGGGUUGGAAUUGGGAGGUCAAAGUCUGGGACUAUCAAUGGUGGGAGCAGUACGGGCAGGCAUAGCAGCAACUGCAGCAGCUUUGGAAGCUGCGGCUGGUGUAGGGAAGUUGAUUGAUACGAGUGCCCCUGUUGAUUUUGGAAGAGAGUCAAAUCUAAAGCAUAAUUUUGAGCUGCCAAUAUCAUUGGCUGCUCUUCAGAAGUUUGGAAAGCCACAGGGUUCUUGGCAAGAAAGCAGCGAAUAGAAGCAAUAGUUGAGUGCCAAGUCCCAGAGAAUAAUGGGAGGAGGCAUGCGCUGAUGCUUACAGUUGGCGACUACAUGAGAAGAAGAGGGAUUCUCUGAACAUAUUAAAAACCACCACAGAAACAAGAAAGUUCAAAAAGAGAGAACAUAUUAAAAACAGAUCAAGGCAUGCAAAAAAAUACAGACUCUAUCUGCAAACUAGCUGAUUAAGCCAGAAAGUUUCCUAGCUUACAUAGUCGUCGUCGUCUUGGUCCUCCUCCUCAUCAUCACCCUCAUCAUCAUCAUCCGCAACUUCUUGGUCCUGAUCAUCGUCUUAUUCCUCAUCCUCCUCAUUAAAAUCCUUCUCAUCAUCCUCAUCGUGUUGUCAUCAUCCUCAUCAAAAUCAUCAUCUUCAUAAUCCUCAUCAAAAUCAUCACCUUUGGUAGAAAUUUCUUCUAAGGCCCGUUCGUAAGGGAUAUAAUGGUAAUCAAAUAAUGAACCUUUGAAAGUCAUAAGUUUGUCGCAUACUAAACGUACCCCUAUUUUCUUCACCGGACAAUGUGCAAUAACAUGGACCAAAUCGCUUUCUCCCAAAUUGAACUCAGUUUCCGACAACGAUAAAUUUGCCAGCCAAAUCAUCUCUUCAAUGAGAAAAAGAUCUCCUAGUUCGACACAAAAACUAGUACCCUCGUUGAUGUAAUCACGAGGAACAAAAGCCAGGCACACAGCCAACGCUUUUGCAUUACAUCCAAUUUCCUUGGGCACUUCAAAAGAGACUUGGGUACCCUCGUUGACAUGAUUGAACCAAGUGGGAAUUUGUCUUCCUACAAAACUCAUGGUUCCACCUCCUGUCCAUCCCUAUACCAUGUGGAACAACAUUUGUGUUAGUACUACAUACAUAACACACAUAUUUGCGAUGGGGGAGGAGAGAGGAGUGGUGUGGAAGAGAGAGAGUACCUGUAUCGUGCUAUCCUUAAGAAGGAAAUCCAUGACAUUGUUGUGUGUUAUCAUACAAAGAUGGAGUCCCGAGUUUAACGCGCUAUCCAAGCCUGGAAACUCAAUGAGUUUCGGGGAAAAGAGACUCACCAUUGUUGACAUGCCUGAAAAAUCUGGCAUUCUUUCUAAUGCAGAGCAGUCAUCCAUUUGCAGGAAACCCAAACUUUUUGGUAAAUCUGUAAUCUCGACAAGGUUUCUGCAACCAUUUAAGGAUAGUAUACGAAGCUUGGAGAGGCCACUGAGGCUUGGAAGGCUCCCAAAAUUAUUGUCAUCUAGACUUAACUCCACUAAACAAGGUAGACUACUCCCAAUAUCAUUAGGCACUUCCUCUAUAUUGCUGUCCUCCAAAAUUACACUUGUCAAAGAGCGUAAACCUAGUAAGGAAGGUAGCUGCAAAGAACACUUCAAUUUACUCAAAGAUAAGCGCUCGAGCUUCUCUAGUCGUACGAUGGAAGGUGGUAGUUUUUUUAUGGCCGUUCCAUCUGCAUAAAGAGUGACCAAUGAUGCCAUUUCUCCCAAGUGCUCAGCCAAACUUUGGAAUCUUGAACAACCAUCGAGAACAAGAGUUUUAACAGAUUUCAACUUGUAGAAACUCCUCGGAAGAGCCUUAAGCGUUUCACAGUCUUUCAAAUUCACCAACACAAGACUCUUAAGAUCUCCGAUGGACUUGUGAACUUUAGCCAACCUCUUACAGUCUUUGAGUAUCAAUUUCUCAAGAUUUGGGAAUUUUGAAAAGUCUGGCGAUUGUGUUAGAUCGUGGGAGUGGCUGAGAUUUAGAAUCUUCAACUUAUCAAGCAACUGUUAAGAAAAAUCAAAUUUAAAUAAAAAAUUUAAAUCCAAAAAGAAGAUACAAAGAGCAUAAAAAUAAUUCCUAAUUUGGUUCAGGUUACGCAUUGUACUUACCCCAGAAUACUCACAAAGAACUUGUCUGAGGUUGCUGUACUGCAUGUCGAUAACAACUAUGUUUGGUUGACACAGUUCUAUUGGUAUGAACUCCAAUGGGAAUCCAUGCCAGCACAGCCAUUUUAAUUUUUUGGAAAGACAUUGGUAUCCCCCAGAGAGCCGAACGUAGUUUAGUUGGAGCAAUCUCAGUCUCUUCAUAUUUCUAAACACCUCAGUACUGAAACUAGUCUCUUCAAGACUCGGCAAAUUCAAAGCUAGACCUUCAAUUUUUUCAGUUCCCUGCUAUCCGAAAAAACAGACUCCAAAUGAGAGAAGGCUUAUCAUGAAAAAAAGUUAGAUUACUAACUUACAUAUGCUUACACGUUUAACAUAAAGUUUGAUUGGGAAAGUACUUACAGAUUUGUCUAUCAAUACAUCAUUUACAUCUUCGGGAUGCCACAAUCUACUCCGUUCUCCAGGAAAAUCGGGAUUUUCUGCAUGCACGAUAUCUCUGCCCAUAUCUCGAAGCAAAUCAUGCAUCAUAAUCUUGUUUUCUCUAUUAAUAGUCACUAGGCACCGGUUAAGGAGGACCUCGAUUCCUGUUGUUGAAUAAAAGCCACAACCAUCCAAGAUUUGCACGACAUCGUUCUUGUCCAUUCCGAUAAAAAAACAAGCUAUAUCGAGGAAUAUCCGCCUCUUGUAAUUAUCAUUUAGCCCGUCGUAGCUUAUUUUCAGUUGUGCCUGAAUUUCUCCACGAGGAAUCAUUUUCAAUUCAUCCAAUAUACUUCUCCAUUCAUCUACGCUUCGUUUGAAAAGAGUAGAUCCUAAAACUUCAAGAGCCAGCGGCAAUCCUCCACAGUAAUUGACAACUUCUCUUUCAAGCGCAAGAUAUUGACUAGGACAACUACUACUUCUGAAAGCAUGCCAACUUAGGAGCUCAAGAGCUUCUUCUCGGUCCAUUACUUUCGCCCGAUAUAUCUUAUCAACUGCAAAUUCUUUUAGCACACGUUCGUUUCUAGUUGUGAUGAUGAUUCUGCUCCCCGGGCCAAAAAAGUGGCAAUUUCCAACUAAUUCGCGUAACUGCUUCACAUCGUCUACAUCAUCAACUAUGACAAGUACCUUUAAGCGUCGAAAUCUUUCCCUUACCAAGGCGGUCCCUGCAACAACACUGCUUACCUUUGUCUUGGUUUGCAAGAUAUCGAAAAGAAGUUGUUUUUGCAAUUUUUCUAGUUUCUUUUCCCUCACUUUUUCAAGGAAACUUUUACCUUCAAACCUUUCAUAAAAUAUGUUAUAAAUGGCUUGAGCAAUCGUUGUUUUACCUAUUCCACCCAUGCCUGAAAUUCCAAUCACACGAACAUCAUCUGAAUCUCCGAUGCCUAAAUAAUUACUGAUAUCUAGCACUCGAGUAUCUAUUCCGACUUGAUAGGGCGCUACGUCAAAGUAUUUGUUGUUCAACUUCGUAGUGACGUCAUUGGUAAUCAUCCUGAUAAACUUUGCUUCAUGCCUGGCAUUAGUCAAGUUGAGAAGCAAAACGAAGAUUGUUAUACAACGAAAUUGAACUAAUUAAUACACAAAAUUAUUUAUCAUGACUAGAGAUUUUAAUUAAGACAAUUUUUUGAGGUGGUGUGUUUAAACUUAGCAAACAUCAAUUAAGAUUAAAAUAUAAAUUUCAAUAAGAAACACAAACAAAAAAACCAGCAUCCCUUCCCUCUGCAGCUAGUCGCCGGCGUCUUCCCAGCUGUGAUUAGUGUAGCCUUAACAGUUUAAGCUUUAUUGUAUGAUUUUAUUACAGAGGUCUAAGAAAUCGCAUGAUUCCAAAUUAAUAAGCAAAGGUACGUUAAAGCCUUAAUUCAUAAGAAAAGAAAUUAGUAAGUACCCGUCCAAAGUGUUUCUGAGAUCCCAGCCAGACAAAUUCGAAGCUUCAGUAAGAGCAGCUCUCCACCUCUCUACCUUUUUUUCAUCUGUAUGUUUCAGAAACGAUUGUGCAAAUCUACCGGUCUGUUUCCUGACAUGCGAAGGAUCAACGUCAUAGAAUAUCGGCAAAACUAAUUGCCCUAGCGUUCUUCUACACUCCAUGACCUUAACCAGCUCCUCGAGACACCAGCUGGAGUCUGAGUACCGUCUUGAGAAGACGAUGAUAGAGAUCCUAGAACCCUGGAUUGCCUGCACAAGUUCGGUAGUUAUAUCUUCUCCUCUUCUUAGUUCGUCGUCAAUAAAGGCGUUGAUUCCGGCCUUUGUCAAUGCUUCGUGGAGGUGGCCCGUGAAGUUUUUACGUGUGUCUUCGCCUCUGAAGCUUAUGAACACUUCGUAGAGCAAGCCUUUUGAGAAGGAGGACAGGGACGGGGAGGCAGAGGUGGACGAUGAAGAUGAGAUUGAGGGUGAGGAGGUGGAGGAGGUGGAGGAGGACGAGGAGGACGAGGAGGAUGAGGAUGAGGGUGAGGAGGACGAUGAGGAUGAGGGUGAGGAGGAGGAGGAGGAGGAGGUUUUAUCGGGGACAGAGAUAUUCAUUUGGCGAAAGACGAAGCCGAGGGAGCAGAGGAGGAAGAUGAGGACAUCAAAGACAAGACCGGAAUUGCGAUGAGCAUAGUGGUAGGACAGUAACACCAGCACCAUAAUUAACAGCUUCCCUAAGCUCGACCAGUUAUCCAUUGCCUUCAAUUUCUUUAGGCAAAUUGAAGGUUGUUUGGCGAUAUUGAUUUUCUUUUUUUCUUUAAUCAGUUUGCAAAUCUCCAUGUUUCUUACGUACACUUGUCGGCAGAGAUAAUUAUACUUGCUUUUUUGGGGCAGAGAUAAUUGCCCACGUCCAAUUCCAUUCCUAACUCCUAAUUGGCUAAUCCCAAACCCCACCCCAGCCAACCCAAGGCCGCUCACCAGCACAAGAAUAGUCUCCUCUCCAGUAUUGGUAAGUUGACUUGUGGUUCUACACCCUAAAUUCUACGAGGCGCUUUUUCUUUUCCACUUUAACGCCAAAUUCUACGCGGUGCCUUAUGGUUCACACAAUGAUGAGAGAUUUUUCAGUUUAUAGGAACACAGUCCAGUACACUACACUUAUAAAACAACUUCAAGAGGGCUAGUUUGAAAAUAUCCUACUGCAAAAUUUGAUUUGGUUUGGACCAAAUUUUGAUUUAGAUGAAAACUAGCAACGGUGCCUGCGCAUUGCUGUCGGUGUUUAAAAUGUUUUGAUAAUAUGUACACACAAAAAACAUAAUUUAUUAAAGCUCGAUUUCUACACCUAAGAUAGAGGUUGACAGUGUUCAUAAUUAUCAAAAGUUGGCAGCGUCCAAUUGCUCACUGUUCAAAAGAUAGAGAUGAUAUAAACGCUUAAUUCAUGUACAUAAGUUCAUAGUAUCAUGUACUCAAAAUAAUCAUAGUAUCAAGAGAUUGGCAGUCUUCAACUGCUCAUUGUUCAAAUACGAAAAUAUACAUAUGUCCAUACUAGAAGGUUGGCACCGCACAUCUGCUGUGUUUAUGAUUUUUCCUGUUCAAUCUCUGGUCUUGUUUGUUUGGGAAUGGCCAUCCUUUUUCUUGGCCACCAUGCUGUUGAAUUGGUGCCUAUUCUUUAUAGCUUUGCCCAGGAUUUUUCUCUUGCUAUAUAUUACGAAUUGGAAUCAGUAAGAAUUCCAUAUAAAAAGCUAAAUUUGUCAAUCUAUUUAACUUAGUGCGAACUUCAUCAGGCAACCAAGAAGUAUAAUCCUGCAAGGAGUCAGACCGAGCAACACACACUCAUAAAUAAAAGAUUAGGAACUUUGGUUCAGGAUAAACAUAAUGCAAACAGAAGAAUAAAAUUGACAGAAAAUAGAUCGAUGCACAGAGAGAUAGAGGCAUAAAGAGGAACUUACAUCAGCUGUGCUCUCAAAUACAUAUGGUAAUCUGCAUACAAAGAAACAUAAUACUGAAACAGUUAUAAAUCAUCCUAUUCAAACAAAUCAAACGAAAUGCAUAAAGAUUACCUUAGUUUUUGAUUCUAUGAUUUUGUAUUUGACUCCACCUCCACGUUGUUCUUUGGUUGUCUCUUUUACUGAAUUAAGUAAUCGACUGAAUUACUUAAUUCAACUGAAUUUAAUCAGAGAGAUAAAAGCUUCAGUAUAAAAAAAUAUUUUAUGCUCUACACGCAUAGCAAAUCAUCAGUAACCUCCAAGAACCUAAUUGUACGAUAAACACUCUAGCACUAACUACCCAAGAAUUAUAAUCAUGCUUAUUGCCAAAAAUGAUAAACAUGUUUACCUUGACUUCAUUUUUAAUGGCAUAUGUAAUAUACUUUCCAUCUGCAUUAAAAUAACCUUCUUCCCUCUGCUCGUUAAUCAAGUUGAAAGGUUCUGUUUGAAUCCCAUCCACAACAAAGUCCUUGUAAUCCUGCCAAAAGAUACCACCAAUCACUGGCUAUCGCUUCCGUUGAUCCAAUUAGCAGAAGUAUCCAACAAUUUCCUCGACUGAAAAAAAUCUUGCCAAUUUAGAAAAGAACUAUUCCAAAUUACGGAUGUACUCGAUUAAUUUAACCAAGAAUAUGCACGGCACCACCACUAUUAAGAAACAUCAUCAUACAUCAUCAUACAAAGACAAAAGUUUUUACCAUCAGUUUUUAAAUUGCAACCAAAAAC